UACGUAGGGUGCGAGCGUUGUCCGGAAUUAUUGGGCGUAAAGAGCUUGUAGGCGGUUUGUCGCGUCUGCUGUGAAAAUCCGGGGCUCAACCCCGGACUUGCAGUGGGUACGGGCAGACUAGAGUGUGGUAGGGGAGGACUGGAAUUCCUGGUGUAGCGGUGGAAUGCGCAGAUAUCAGGAGGAACACCGAUGGCGAAGGCAGGUCUCUGGGCCGACUGACUGACGCUGAGACGCGAAGCGUGGGAGCGAACAGG
rnacentral:rRNA from 1 species